GCAGGCUCUGUCGUGGUGAAGAGUCUGAAGGCUUUUUCUUUUCCAGUAACACAGGAGGUGAUUGAAUGGAAGGAGUGGCCAGUCACUCUUUGGCGUCCAGGAUCCAAGAAGAAACAGAUGAGGAGGAAGGAGGAUAAACAACUUCUGGACAAAGCGAGUAAGUGAAGGUUGGGCAAGAACGCACAGCACGCAUGGCCGAGGGUCCUAGAGGAUGCUGCACCUCUGCCUCUUCUCUAGACGGGAUCCCUUUCCCACAGCUAGUGCUGUUGGAGGGCUGGGGAGGGGGCCGUCCAGGCUUCAGGCCUUGCUUUUAGAACUUUCCUUUGAACUGGAAAAACAGGAAAGACCUGGGGAGACUGGGAGGCAGAGAGUAGGAGUAUCAGGGAGAAAACAAGGGCGAGCAAGGAGAAAGGACAGCAAGAGCAAGAGGCGGCUGGAAAGACACCAGGAGAAUAUCGGGGCUGCGUGGCCUCGGCAUCUGGAGCGCAGACUGCGGGCUAUAUUUAGAUCGCCAUGACUUGCAAUAAUUUGUGCAAGGGGGGAAGAAAGGAAAAUGUGAAGUUGGCGUCGUGUUGGGAGGGAAUGAAUUAUAAGAAAGGAACAGCCCUAUAGAGGUGAGCUGUGCCUGAGGCCUCAACCCUUGGUCUCUAGGAAAGAGCCAUUGAGCAGUGCAGGCCAUCAGGAGUGAGUGAUGGUGUUUACUGAGCCUAAUCCAACUCAUGCCCCCAUUCCCAGAUGCGCCCUGUGCUUCCCACCAAGAAUGUGGGGCGCUGGGCGUGCCAGGUGGCCUGUCUACCACAGCACCA
rnacentral:lncRNA from 10 species